UACAGAGGGUGCGAGCGUUGUUCGGAAUCACUGGGCGUAAAGCGCGCGCAGGCGGAGCAUCAAGUCGGAAGUGAAAUCUCGCCGCUCAACGGCGAGGCUGCUUUCGAUACUGGCGCUCUAGGGACCGGUAGAGGCUGGUAGAAUUGCAGGUGUAGCGGUGGAAUGCGUAGAUAUCUGGAGGAACACCGGUGGCGAAGGCGGCAUCCUGGACCGACACUGACACUGAGGAGCGAAAGCCAGGGGAGCAAACGGG
rnacentral:rRNA from 1 species